rnacentral:rRNA from 1 species
CCUACGGGUGGCAGCAGUCGAGAAUCAUUCACAAUGGGGGAAACCCUGAUGGUGCGACGCCGCGUGGGGGAAUGAAGGUCUUCGGAUUGUAAACCCCUGUCAUGUGGGAGCAAAUUAAAAAGAUAGUACCACAAGAGGAAGAGACGGCUAACUCUGUGCCAGCAGCCGCGGUAAUACAGAGGUCUCAAGCGUUGUUCGGAAGCACUGGGCGUAAAGCGUGCGUAGGCUGUGUCGUAAGUCGUGUGUGAAAGGCGCGGGCUCAACCCGCGGACGGCAGAUGAUACUGCGAGACUAGAGUAAGGGAGGGGGAACCGGAAUUCGCGGUGUAGCAGUGAAAUGCGUAGAUAUCGAGAGGAACACUCGUGGCGAAGGCGGGUUCCUGGACAUUAACUGACGCUGAGGCACGAAGGCCAGGGGAGCGAAAGGGAUUAGAUACCCGGGUAGUC